rnacentral:tRNA from 1 species
AGGGGUGUAGCUCAGUUGGUAGAGCGUCGGUCUCCAAAACCGUGCGCCGGGGUUCGAGUCCCUCCACCCCUGCCA